UCAGCGUUGCAGAAAGGGAGGAGAGUGGGAAGGGAGGGAGGCACCCUCCGUCAGCAGGGAGGGUGAACAACGGGGACCGAGUCUACACGUCACUGCCCAGGGCCUAGAUCCCGCGUCCCCAGAGCUGAGCACCCAACCCCAAAGGUUCUGCCACCCUUACCUCGAUAAUUGCUUUCCAGUUCAGGAAAGGGGUGUUGUGUUUGAAAUCCUGGAGGGAGGAGAAGAGCCUCUGCCAGAACUCAGGACCUCAGGACCAGGACCUGUCCCCAGAACUUCCUGCCUUUUUACCUUCCCUUCCGCCUCCAGCCCAUUUCCCAAAGCUGAGAGCUGCGCUCUGAUCCUUCCAGACGCCCCCCUCCCGCACCCUGGGGAACAACAGUGGAGACGUAAGAAAGGAGCAGAGACCAGGAGUGUGGGGCAGCUAAGGUUUAUUUCGAGGGUAAGGGUUGAGGUUAACGGUGGGAUAGCGAUGUUUUAGGAAGGGAUGGGAGGGGGGCUCCCGUCCAUCUGGUAGCUCCUUGUCUGGAGGUCACGGGGUAUGAAAGCUCCUCUGGUCCUGGGCAGAGAAAUAAGUUCUAAGAGGGAGCUCAAGGAAUAGGAAUCAGGCCGUAGUGGGCCACGUCAGGGGUGGAUCGGGCUUCCGCUGCUGAAAUCCGCAGGGAUCCUUUUGCCCACGGCUGUCAUCCAGUCAAAUCUGGAUAUUCCAGUUGGGCUUGAAAACCUCAUACGUGCCAAGAACUGUUACGUAUGUUCUCCUUGUCGUCACUGGUCAGUCUGGCCCUCCUUGUGAAGGAGAUGGGCUCUCUGUUCUCUUCUCUGCCCAUCUCUGUCCUGCCCUUCUUCCUAGACCUGCUCCUGGGGAAGCCACCCCAGAUGGACCCUGCCUAACUGGGAGCGCUCUCCUUUUACUGGCCCCCUAGAUGUGUAAGAAUGUCGACUGCCUUCCAGGCCCCGGGGAAGUAUGAGCAUGUGCCCCUGGGCCUAAGUUCCCCGUGAUAGGGGUUGGGGGUUGGGGGGGGAGGGGGCUGUUUCUCUAUAAAACAGAAACAGUCCAUUUGCUCCUGCGGUUCAUCCAAACCCGAACCGCGCUGCCGCGGGGACCUUCUGCCUCCUGUAUCUUUCACUGUCCCACCUUAUUCCCCAGGGGGCAGACUUGGACUUGCUGAGGGCGGGGCUCUGUCCUCGCCUCCCUGCCUACCGCCACCGCCACCUCGGUUCCCCUGCCAGUUUUAGAGGUUAGGGGCCCUCGCCUUGUUUCUGUUGUUACAGGUCAGGAACUCGGAGACUGUGACAGGCAGGGGGCCUGUGGCUCCUGGAGAACAAGCCCCUCCCACCCCCCCCCCCCCCCCCCCCCCCACACACACAAGAAGCAGUGGCCACUCAGCUCUUGUCUCUGGGAGCUCGAGGAAAGAGGGGCCCCGCGUUGCCACAUUUUUCAGAAGCCGGAAUUCCAAGUCAUUUUGUAAAAUCUCUCAGUUUUUAAACUUUGGCAACUAGUUCAUAAUGCUUUAAAAAAAAAAAAAAAAAAAAAAAGAA